rnacentral:rRNA from 1 species
AACGAACGCUGGCGGCAGGCCUAACACAUGCAAGUCGAGCGAGGACUUCGGUUCUAGCGGCGGACGGGUGAGUAACGCGUGGGAAUGUGCCCUUCUCUACGGAAUAGCCCUGGGAAACUGGGAGUAAUACCGUAUACGCCCUUUUGGGGAAAGAUUUAUCGGAGAAGGAUCAGCCCGCGUUGGAUUAGGUAGUUGGUGGGGUAAUGGCCUACCAAGCCGACGAUCCAUAGCUGGUUUGAGAGGAUGAUCAGCCACACUGGGACUGAGACACGGCCCAGACUCCUACGGGAAGCAGCAGUGGGGAAUCUUAGACAAUGGGGGCAACCCUGAUCUAGCCAUGCCGCGUGAGUGAUGAAGGCCUUAGGGUUGUAAAGCUCUUUCAGCUGGGAAGAUAAUGGCGGUACCAGCAGAAGAAGCCCCGGCUAACUCCGUG